AGGUUACUAACAUAGAAGGUAGUGACAGUGCCAGCAGAGUUUCCAGGGACAAGCUUGAGUUGCAUAUCGAAUCUUCCAAACAAGUACUCAUUCUUGGAUUGAAACCCUGAUCCAGAAGCUUGGUCGAGAGACAAAGUAAGGUCUCGACCAGCAUUGAGUAUCUUGGCGCGCUGAUCACCCCAAGUGAUUUCCGCGUCAUUGUAGAAAUCAGCAGCUGCCUGUGGAGCUUGGGUGGUCAUGAGAACUGAAAGUAACAGAAGCGAAGCGCUAACAUGCAGAUUGACAUGUUAUGAUGAGCAGUCGAAAUGAGAGAAUUAGUAUUCGCUGGGCUUGAAUGAAUCGAAAGUUAGAGAUUGGUAAUGAAAAAGAAGUAAAAUGUAUGUCGAGAGUGAUGGGUGAGGUAAGAAUGGGAAUGGGUAAUAUUUAUAGGUGGGAGUUGUUGUCAAUACCACACAAAAGGAAGCAUCCCAGACAGAGAAUGGAGUAUAUGUUGUUGACAGCUUGGAUUGUUGAGUUGACAACAUUUAGAAAAAGGAAAAUUAGGAGAGUAUUUAUGAAGGUUCUAGCAAUAGCAGAAAUCAGCAACGGGCAUCAUAGACGCACUACAUUGUUUGAUCGGGUACUGCAGUUGUUUUUACCAUUUUUUUGGUCAGUCGGGAAAGCUGUUCCUUUUAUUUUAUUUUUCUAAUGAAAAGAAGAGAAAAAUCAAUAAUUUGAAAGAUCAAAAUACCGUUUAUUAAAAAGUGAAAUUCAUUUUUAAUGAAACAUCUAAAUAUCAAAUGUCAAAAUAGCAAAAAUUGGUUAUCAUCAUUUAAUUUUUCCUAUUUAAUAAUAAUUAUUAUUAUACUAUUAAAAAAACUCUAUAUUAAUGAGGAAGUUGUAAUAUAACAAUUAUCUUACAAUCAUAAUAAUAUUCUCAACAAAAUUAUUAAUUUUAAAUUUAAAACUCAAACAAUUUAGUUUAAGAAACAAUUCUAUAAAAAAAAAAUUAUCAUAUUUUAUAGUUCAAAUCAAUAUGGAAUCCAUACCAAUACUAAAUUACAAAAUUUAGGUGUUAUCAUAUAAUAUUCUUUAUUAAAUAAUUGUUAUUUAUUAUAGUACUAUGAAAGGACUUUAAAAUCGACCGGGACUUUGUAAUAUAAUCAUUAUUACUACCAACAGACUGCAUUGCCAACAAAAUUAUUUUUUUUAAAAAAAAUUCAUAAAAUUUAAUUUAAGAAAAAGUUGUAUUAAUUAUUGUACUCCCUCUGUUUUUUAAUAUUUGACGCUUUGACUUUGAGCACGUACUUUUAAAUGUUUUGACUGAAUAGUUAAAAAUAUUAUUUUUUAAAUUUUCUUUUUCUGAAUAAAAAUAUAUAAUCAAAAUUUUAAUUUACAAAAGAAAUCAAUCAAAAUAAUAAUUUUUACUUUUUGAUCAACCCACCUGAAAAUAUGUGUCAAAAGUCAAAAUUUCAAAUAAUUAAAAACAGAGGGAAUAAUAUAUAAUAAUUUAAUUUAGGAAACUAUACUGCUACUCAUGAAAUGUAUAGCUAGCAACCAAAACGCAAGACAAAGUUUGGUAAAGUAGCAACUUAUAAAAUGCAGCAACUUUGGUACUCCUGUAUACUGCUACAUAAUGGUCUACCGGAGCUUGUAUUACUGAACCGUCAUACAUAUACAUACCUUGUAUCCAUUGCAAUCAUUCAAGCAAUAGAAUAUAGCAUAUAUACCGCGUUAAUGAUGCCUGUUGCUGGUUUCUGCAAACGUUGGAAUGUUCAUAAUUACUCUCCUUUCUCUAAAUUGUAACGGUACCAACUCAACAAUCCAGCCAGCUGUUAACAAAAUAAACACGCAUUUAGUUUUUUCUUAAACUUAUACAUUGUCCAUCCUGUGUCUGGCUCUGCGGUGCUUCCUUUUGUAGUAUAGUCAAACAACUUCCACCUAUUAUAAGUAUCAACCAUUUCAUUCUUACCUCAACCAUCACUCUUAACCUAAUAAUACUUUCAAUUUGAUUACACUCUCUCGUUUUUUCAUUUAUCCAAGCCCAGUGAAGUCUUCUUUCUGUCCGAGUGCUAAUUGUAACAUGUCUACCUUCAUUUCAGUGCUUCUUUUACUUUCUUUUCUCAUGAGCACCCAUGCUCCACAGGCAGCUGCUGAUUUCUACAAAGACGCAGAAAUUACUUGGGGUGAUCAGCGCGCCAAGAUACUCAAUGCUGGUAGCGACCUUACUUUGUCUCUCGACCAAGCUUCUGGCUCAGGCUUCCAAUCCAAGAAUGACUACUUGUUUGGAAGAUUCGAUAAUCGAUAUGCAACUCAAGCUCGUCCCUGGAAACUCUGCUGGAACUGUUACUACAUUUUAUGUUAGUAACCUUACAAAACAUUUUAUCGUAUUCAUGCACUAUAUGAUCUUUAGUUAACAAAGCUAUUUUUAUGCCUAAUAUCUAUUUAUAUCAUGUACUCGCAGCUAUCUUCUCAAGGAGCUGGACAUGAUGAGAUUGACUUUGAGUUUCUGGGAAACUCAUCAGGAAGUCCAUAUACAAUUCAUACAAAUGUGUUUGCGCAAGGCAAAGGUGACAAAGAACAACAAUUCCAGCUCUGGUUCGAUCCCACUUCUUCCUUCCACACCUACUCCAUUGUUUGGAAUCCCCAAAGGAUUAUGUAAGUAGACCUUUUUUACGUGACAUAUAACUUUCCUUUUUUAGAAAAACCAAAUUACGAAUUCUACUGCAAUUACUUUUGCUGACAAUAUCAAUUUUUUGGCCUUCAGUUUCUUGGUGGAUAACAACCCGAUCAGAGUAUUCAACAAUCAGGAAUCAAUAGGGGUGCCCUUCCCCAAGAGCCAGCACAUGAGAGUCUAUGCCAGCUUAUGGAAUGCUGAUGACUGGGCAACUGAUCAAGGCGGGCGUGUCAAGACCGACUGGACUAAAGCUCCAUUCACAGCCUACUACAGGAACUUCAACAUAAAAGGGUGUCCCAAAUAAUCUCCCGGAUCAUCAUCUUGUGGAUCAGGGCCGUCUGAAACUUUUCUGAGGCCCCGUGCUGAUUUUAAGAAUGAGACCCUUCCAAAUGACAAAACAAAAUUUUAAUAUAUUUAAAAUAACAUGAUAUCAUAAGCAAAAUUAGACUACUACAACUGAAAAAUUGUUUUUUUUAAGUAGUUAGACUUAAAUAUGUGUGUGGCCGUGUGGGAUUUACUGUUUGUGCAGUCUACUAGUUUGUGAGUAAGGAGAAGGAAUAAGAAGAAACGUGCAUGGCUGGGUCUUGGGAGUCGAGAAUUGAUUAGUGUUUAAAUAAAAUAAUGGUAAAAAUUAAAGAGAUAUUAAUAUCAUAUUAUAUUUAUCAUGAGUAUACCAAAAGAUAGAAAGAAGAAGUAAUAAAUUGGGGGCCCUAAAUUUUCAUGGGCCCUGUGCUGUUGCACUUGUUGCACUCCCUCAAAACCGACCCUGUUGUGGAUCAUCCACCGCUUCUUCAAGCACCAUCGAGGGAUGGAGAACACACGAGCUGGAUGCAGCUGGCCGAAACAGACUCCGAUGGGUACAAUCAAAGCAUAUGGUGUACAACUACUGCUCUGACAAACAGAGGUUUGCUAAUGCUGUCCCAGCUGAAUGCAGGCGUUCAAGAUUUCUCUAGACGACACAACCAUGAUUUUGAUGUCUGGUUUUGUGAUCAGCUUAUUGUGUAAUUCCAACAAAUAAAUAUAUUCUUUAUUCUUUGUAAUUGAAUUUCUGUUUUUUUUUAAUUCAAAUGUUAAAUAAAUCCGGUCACUUGAUUAUAUAUCAGAGAUCAACCAAUAAAAACGAAAAGUUCAUUUUAAUUUACUCCCAAAUUUUCAGCUUCUGUACCUUCAGAGCACUGAAAUAUACUUAAUUUUGUCGCAGCUGCAUUUUACCGAAAACAGGUACCGAUCAGCUUCAGUAUCUCGACUGAUCUUAGAUAUCUAAGCAUUAAAAGUCGGCAGACAAGAGAAACAUUUCACGUAUGGCUAAGUAGACCAGUUGAAAAACUGAAUAAUCGUAAACUGGGAAUAUAAAGAAUCAGUAUUGAAAAAGAAAUCGGAACCCGUGUUAAAAAAAACAAACAGAGAUGUGAUCAACGGCCAAGACACUGUUAACUUCAAUCACAAUAAAUAUUGAAUUCUGAGACUCAAAUUAUAUCUCUAGUAAUCGAACAUUGAAUUUAAUAUUUAUAUUAAAUAUCAGACUCAAUUUUAUGCAUGUACCCACUAUUUUUGUAAAAAUCAGUAAGAGUAUUUCCAACCCUCACAAGCCCUUAGCUAAAAGUCCAUGUGGCUUUCCAAAAUUAAAUUUUAUAAUCAAUGUUUACAAAAAAUAAACUCCAACCACAGCAACCCUUGUGUAUAAUUAUAGCCAUCCCCUUGACUAUAUUUGUCGAUUCACUACAGAUAUGUAGCGAAUUUCACUUCAAAAACAUCUCUGAACAGGGUUCUAGCACCAUGCCAAAUAUGUCCAAAGAAGAAGAGCAAAGCAAAAGAAGCAUGUCCAAAAGUAAACCAACCCCUUGGACUGCUACGAAAAACACCAUCGGAUUUCAAAGUAGCACGAUCUAAUUCAAAAAUUUCACCCAAUUGAGCGCGUCUAGCAUAUUUUUUCACAGUAGCAGGAUCACUAUAACUGACUCCGUUGAGUUCGCCACCGUAGAACUCAACAGUUACACCUACUUGUUCGACACUAUACUUCGAUUAUCUCUCGCAAUUUAUUUUCCUCUUUCCCACUGAUUACAUAUUAUUUAUUACCAUAUUAAGCUGAUAUAUUCUAUUUAUAAUAAUCUAAAUAUUAAUAACAUACUAUUUUUAAAUUAUAACCAAUAUAGCCAAUACCAUUAAAGCACAAUGUCUUACAGGUUCGGCAAAUUUUACAUAAUAUCACUACGCCAUAUAUGGCCUACGACAACAUCAAAAAAAUGAUGCCAUAACCCCAAAAUAUGUUGCCAUAGCCCGAAAAAGGGCUAUUGCAACAUAAAAUUUAAGUUGCACUUUUGCAUGCUGCCUUAGGCUUCUAUUGCAACAUUUAGGUAACCUACUGCAACACGGCUUUUUAUGUUACAAUAGACGUUCUAUUGCAACAUCUGACUAUCCUAUAGCAACAAAUAUAUUAUGUUACAUUACACCUUUUGAUUUGAAAAGAAAAAGGGGGACCCACAUGUGGGUCACACUUGUAGGUCCCACUUUUUGAGUCCACGUGGAUCCCACAUGUGGGUCCCACAUGUUAGUCCCAUGUUUGGACACCUAUUUUGUAGUCCCAUGUUUGCAACAAAUUUAUAAAAGAAAUUUAAAAUAUGCUCUUUAAAUAUUAAACAUUCCAAUAAACUAUUCUUUCUUACAAAUUUCAUAACAAAUCCAACCAAAUCAAAUUACCUAACAAUUCAAAACCAACUAAAAGUAACAACAAUUAGCCUGUGCUCUCUAGCCUUUUCUCUAAAAUACACCCUUCUCCAUACGUAAAUGAAGUGCAGGAUAUGUGAUUCCAAAGCUGUGACGAUAGGAGUCAUCUGUUCCACUAGCAAGAAACCCAAGCCUAGUGAAAUCCUUGAGCCAUUUCCACAUAAUCUUCAUUAACAGCAUGGACCGCAGCAUCAAAAAAAAAUUUGUAUAUUUUGCUGGAUGGAGAAACAAAAGCAAUUAAUAUAAAUACUUAAUUAAUAUCACAAUCAAUAUACUUGGAACAAAUAUUUUAGAAAGCCCAGGUCGUUUUUACUUGCGCGUAAACACAAUCAAUGACACAAGUGAAGAGAGUCAGAUAUUCACUAUAGAGAGAUACUCGAGUAAAUCACACUGUAACUUUAACAUACUUCACAUUAGCAAAGACAGGGGUUUCAAAAAUUAAAGUCUCGUAUGCUGCAUUGCUUACUGAGUAUUAUCACAUUUAACUAUACAAAUGAGCUAGACAAUCAAUUUGUAUAAGGACUUCAUUUAAAAUACUAAACAAAACCUUCUGAUUAAUCAAUAAUCGCAUAUUACUCAUAGAACAGGAAGGCGGCUAGAAAUUCAUUCAAAAGACACAAAGGUUAAAUGUAUACAGAAGAAAACUCGGUAUUUUGAUGGAUUUUAUUAGGUUUAGGAGUACUUUUUAUCAAAAGCACAUACUCCAGCUCUGUAGUUAUCAAAAAUACCCUAUAAUUCUGUAUAAACAAAUAAAGUUGUGUUACAUUGAGCAAUAUAGGAAUUAGAGGGGCAUUUUACAUGAUAAAUAUAGUAUAAGAUGAUUACCUCAACCCCACGAGAGCAGUAGGCAAACUAAUCUGACUCCUUCCUGGCUUUAGCUUCACUAGGGUCUCAAAAGCUUAAUUAUUAACAUCAUAUUUAGCCAGAAAACAACUUCUUACAUAGUAAAUCUUUACUACUAAUAAUUAUCAAGUCAGGGGAAGAACAAUAAUACAAUACAAGUUUACAACAUCAGGGGAAGAACGAUGCCGGCUCUGUAAACAGAGAGUUCAAAUCAUAUGGCAGAUAUAUACAACAAAAAAAGAACCAGUGCUUUCUAGAAAAACUACGUGCAACAUUAUACUGAUUCCUGAACAAAUCAACUCAACAAGUCAAAUGCCUAUAAAAAAUUACAACAUUCAAGACAAACUAUAAAAUCAGAAUGUUCCCAUUAGAGUUAAGAGAGAGGGAGGGAGAGACAGAGGGGAGACAGAGACACACACAGAGAGAGAAGGAGAGAGAGGGAGACAGAGAGAUGUGUAACAUAACAUACGACCACAAAUCAAAACAAAGAUAGACAAUGCAUUUACACAUAAAAUCUAAAACAAAGCAUGUGUAUUUAAAGUGAAAAGCAAAGGAUGACCACAAAUCUAAGCAGAUCGAAACCCCAAUUAAAGUGAAAAGCUGUUGAAGCCCUAGUUUCAGAAGCCCCAAUUCCCAAUUCAAUCGAAGCCCUGAGAAAAAUAACGACACAAAAUUAAAAAUAUUUUAGUGAUAAAAACGAAGAAACUCGUAAACAAAUUUAAUGAAACUAUAAAUCAGAAGCCCUGAUUUCGCGGAAUAAAGAACCUCUCAAUAAAAUCCCUAAUUGAAGACCUGAAACAAAACUUUAUUCGAUUGAGAGGUGAGUAUGAGGGGAGAGGUUCCCCGAUUUUUUCUAAUCGACGGUGCGUUUCAGCAGGGAGGUGAGAGGAGAUGAGGAUGAGCAGAGAGGUUUAGCAAGAGAGGUGAGGUGAGGUUAGGUGAGUGUAGAGAGUGAGGUGAGUGUUUGUUGAGUGAAAUGUGAAUAUGUCUGAGUCUCUGACUCAAAUGUGAAGCGGGAAGUUUGCCGCUCAUAUUUUUAGCACGCCCCCAAAAAUAUUUUUUGUUUAUUUUUUGUUUUAAUAAUUCAUUUUAUUUUCAAUUUCUUAAUUGUUAAAUAUAUAAAUAUUUUAUAUAUUUUAUAAUUUUAAUGAUAUACUUCAGUUACGGUGUUAUUUUUUUAUACAUAAUUAAUUAGGUUCAUAUUUUGUUAUUUAAUUAUUUUAAAGAGAUGACAUAAAAAUAAUAUUGUAUUCCAAAAUUAUGUUUAUUCAUGUUUAAUAUAUUCUAUUUUAUUAAUUAAUCAUUUGAAUGUAUUUUAGCUUUAUUUUGUGCAAAUUUUAGUAUUACAAAUAAUUAUUUUACUAAUACUCUUUGCAACACAUAAUUUUGGCUAUUGCAACAUCAAAUAGACAUGAAUGUUUAUCGUUGCGAUAGGUGUCGAUUAGUGUCUCUAAUGCAACAUAAUUUUGCAACACUCGCGUUCAUACCAUUGCGGUAGGCCAUAUAUGGCGUAGUGUAUUUUACAGGUUCGGCAAAUUUUACAUAAUGUCUUACAGAUCCAAUUUAGCCAACGAUUAUAGCGAACGCCAUCGGAGAUGCUCUAACUGUCGUACAAGUUGACAUGUCAUCGAAAUACAAAAACUUAAAUUUUUUACAUAAUUUGCAUACUAAGAUGCUAUAAUCAUUUUACAUAUUUUACAUACGGAAGGAAAAAAUAAACUGGAGAAAAUGUAGCGAAAUAUAUUCGUUUAGAAAAACUCAAUUAUGAUACUCAAAUUAUAUCUUUAGUAGUCGAAUAUUGAAUUUAACAUUAUUAUUAAAUUAUCAAAUUGAAUUUUAUACAUGUAGAACUAUUCUUGCAGAAAUCAAGAACCGUCAUACAAGUUGAGGUGUUAUCGAAAUACAAAAACUUAAAACUUUUACAUAAUCUACAUACGUAAGAUUCUAGAAUCAUUUUAACAGUGUCAUUGAAGAUGCUAUAAUAUUUCCUUUGUCGGAUUCAUACUUGUACGUGUAACUUUAGAAAGUAAAAGAAAAAACGUGAGGAAAUGUAGCUAAACAUGUUAGUUCAAAAAAACUCCAUAAAUUACAUCUUUAGUCGUCGAAUAUUGAAUUUAAUAUUAACUUUGAGGUGUAGAGUAAUUUACAUGUCAUUUCAUUCACUCUUUCGUAUGACCAGAGUAGUCGAAUAUUGAAUUUACUCCCUCCAUCCCAAUUUAUAUGAGCUUUUUCCUCAUUUUACACAGGAAUAUUAAAUGAUGUUUAUUUUUUCAUUUCUGCUCAUAUUCAUUGUGUUGACUUUAUACUAAUAUUAGUUGGAUGGUACAUUGGAAAUAAUAAAUAAGAAAGAAUAAGAGUGAAAGAUUAUUGAUAAAUGUACAUUAAAAAAAAAGAGGCUCAACUAUUUUGGGAUAAAUUUUUUUAUCAAAAAAACUCGAUGAAGAGAGUACAUGUCUAUUUACAUGUUUGUUAGAUAUUGACUUUUGUAGUUCCAAAAGAUCGAUGCAAUUAUUAAGUUCAAAGCGACUCAAGUUUCUAUAUAAAGUACUCUAUAAACAGGGUGUGAGAACUCCCAAUUCUAUCAUAACUUGAGCAUUAUUAGCAUCUCUUACACUUGUUAAGCCACCACCCACUGCUAUGCAUACUACUCGUAGCCACUGCGCUAGUAAUGAUACUGUAUUAGUGAGUAAUGUUACUGCACUAGUGAGUAAUGAUACUGCAUGUGUCGAUGAUAAAUCAAUUGUUCGUAGAUCGGGCAAUUAUCCUCCUCCAAUCUGGGAUGAUGAUUUCGUGCAAUCUCUUACCAGUGAUUUUAAGGUAGAAUCAUGUUUCUUUAGUGUGUGUGUGUGUAGUGUAUAAUUAUUCUUACCACUUGACAUAAUGCAUACGCAGGGAGAAAUAUGGAACAAAUAUGCAGGGGACUUGAAGGAACGUGUGAGGAUGCUGCUCAACAAAGAAGAUACAGACAACCUCAAGAAACUUGAGUUAGUUGAUUCAGUUCAGAGGCUUGGAGUGGGAUAUCACUUCAAGAAUGAGAUUAAUAGAAUUCUGGAAGCCGUGUACAAUAAUGAUAAGUGGGACGGCAAAGAUAAUUUGCAUGCCACAUCUCUCAAAUUCCGACUCUUAAGACAACAUUAUUUUGAAGUUCCUCAAGGUGAGUUCAUCUACUCUGUUGUCAGUAUGUUGUUCUUUAGGUACAUAUGCAUGCAAAUAGAUGACAUGCGUCUGAUAUUGGAACUUCUUUGACUGCAAAAUGCAGAGGCUUUUAGUGGAUUUAUGAACAAUCAGGUAAGUUCAAGAUCAGUCUCACCAGUGACAUGAAGGGUAUGCCAUACUUGUACGAGGCCUCGUACCAUUCAAAAACGAAUGAGAAGAUAUUGGACGAGGCACAACGUUUCACAACCAAACAUAUGACAGAUUACGUAAAUAAUACUCCCUCUGUUUUUUUUAUAUGACGCUUUGACUUUUGGCACACACUUUUAAGUGCUUUGACCGGAUAGUUAAAAAUAUUAUUUUUUGAAUUUUCUUUUUCUGAAUAAAAAUUUUAAUUAUAUACUAUUAUUCAGAAAAAGAAAUUUUAAAAAAUAAUAUUUUUAACUAUCCGGUCAAAGCACUUAAAAGUGUGUGUCAAAAGUCAAAGCGUCAUAUAAAAAAAACAGAGGGAGUAGUAAGAACAGUAAAGACGAGAAACUUGGUAAACUUAUUAGCCGUGCUUUGGAACUUCCACUGCAUUGGACGGAGUCAAGAAUGGAAGCAAGGUGGUACACUGACUACUUUGAGACAUCAAUAGUAGCAGAAGAUAUAAAUGAUUCUGAUUUGCUUCGUUUUGCCAAAUUGGACUAUAACAUGCUCCAGGCAAAUUAUCAAGAUGAACUCAAAGAAUUGUCAAGGUAUUGAUUAGCAGCUAUAAUCUCGUUUUUCCUUAACCGGUAAACUCUUUGUUUUAGAACUGUGCAGAUUAUUGUUAUUUGUGUGCAGAUGGUGGAAGCGCAUACAAUGGGCAGAGAAAUUUAGCUUUGCGAGGGGAAGGUUGAUAGAGUGUUUCUACUGGAGCCUGGGUUGCAACUUUGGACCUGAGUUUAAAUAUGCAAGGAGUGUGCUAGCUGCUGUUGGUGCCUUCCUAACUACUAUUGACGAUAUCUAUGAUGUAUAUGGUACUUUGGAGGAACUUGAAUUGUUGACAAAAUUAACAAAAAGGUUAAUCACAUGUAUUAUAUAAACUCAAAACUUAUUAUUAUUCUUAUUAAUAUAUUGUUGGGAUACUGAUACAUAUAUUGUCUGCGGUCACUUGAUUAGUUGGGAUGCGGCAGACUUGGAUCAACCAGGGCCUUGACAGACUCAUUUUCUUCUCAAAUCUCAUCGUAACAAUCUUGCACUCAAUUCUUUCCAAAACUUUUUCCUACCUCUAUUAUUUUUAUAUAUUUUAAUUAUUUCAUUUCAUUCUCCACAACCAAACACAACAAGAUUUAGAUGCUAAGAGUAAAAAAAAUUCUUGUUAUUAGACUGUUAGUUAAAGAAUAAAAAUAACAGUAGUUUAGCUUAAGUGUGAAGUUCAAUGGAUGCCAUUGUACAACAUGGUAACUAAGAAAUCAUUUAUGUGUUGCAGUAUAAAAUAUUUAUAACACCUUAGUCCCAUAUAGAAGAGUAUGGAGAUUUUAAUUCAAUUUAUAAAUAUAAAUAUUAGUACAAAUAUUACUUUAAUUGAGUACCAUCGAUUCCAUAGAGCCCAACCCUGGUUUUGUAAUUGUAUACUGCUGACUAAUUAUAUCAUGAGUUCAGGCCUCAGCUGUCUUCUUUUUACUGACCAUUUUUUUAUUUCCGGGAAUAUUAAUGACAGACCAUGUCCUGUCCUUGCGUGUUUGGCUGUGAUCGAUCAUAUCUAGGGCUGUAAACGAACCGAGCCGAAUCGAGUUCUAUCGAAUUCGAGUCCGAGUCGAGCUAAAGCUCGUUAAGCUUAUCGAGCCGGAAAUUUGGUUCGAACUCGAGUUCGGUAUCAACCGAGUCGAGUAUCGAGUUUUCAGCGAACUUGCGAGUCGAACCCGAGCUCGAGUCGGACCCGAGCUUUCAGUUAAAAUUUUUGUUUUUAAUAUGAAUUUGGGCCUCAACCAGUCAGCCCAUUACAUUUUACAAACCCAUAUGUUUGUUUGUUUGAGAUAAGCCCAACCAUUUAACCUAAAACUAAAAUUUAAAAACAUUUAGCAAAAAAAAAAUAAAAAUUAAAAACUAAAAACUAAUUAACAAAGAAAGUAGAUUAGUCUAUGGUGUGCCCAUGGGCACAUGCUAAGCGCGGAAAAUUUUGGGCUUGGAUCAUUUUGAUUGGCUCCUAUCUCAUGAUAAUGGUGGACCCCCUGCAAAUACACCAACCACACCAAUCAAAAUCUCCCAAAUACAAAAAUUUCCGCGCUUAGCAUGUGCCCAUGGGCACACACUAGCCAAACCGAAAUACUAAAAUCUAAAUCUAAAUGAUUAAAUCCCCAAUUCCCAAAUCGACUCAAACCUAAACCCAUAUCACAACUAUCGCCGCUCCGCUCUCAAGCACUGCCCACUUCCAAUCAACCCCAACGGCCACCGACCCAUCGUCAAUCCACCACUGAUAUGCAGAUGUGAAAUGGCCUGUUGCUGCCUUGCUCGGAACUGGGAUGAACUGUCCACUGAUUUGCUGUGAUUCUGUGAAUCCAUGAUAAUGGCCACCAUUAUUUGUUGACUUGUGCUGUUAUACAGAUUCACAAGUGCUACUAGUUCACUACUUUAAUGUAUUUAAAUUUCUUUUGGUUUGUAUUGGAAGCUUAUAUAAUAGAUCAGUAGAUAAGAAGUUCUAUUAUUAAUUUAUUAUUAUUUAUUUUAAUUAUGUACCAGUUUAUCGAGUUGAGUAUCGAGUCGAACGAGUCGAACACGAGUUCGAGUCUAUACCGAGUCGAGUCGAGCAACUACAAAACUCGAAUCGACUCGUUAAGCUUAUCGAGCUGCUUUGGUUGUUCAAACUCGAGCUCGUUAACGAGCCGAGCCGAGCCGGCCUAACGAUCAGCUCGGUUCGUUUACAGCCCUAAAUUCAUAUCUUUUUGUUUCUUCCUCACUGGUUUCGAUUUCUUUACAGUGCCAGUUCUCUCUUUAGUUUUUUUUAACUGAUUUAUUUCAGCAUACACGUGAAGUUUUGCUCCCUGCCGUGUUUUCAUUAUCUGACAUCAGUUGAGAUAUAUGACAUGUUUGCUACAUGUUUAGGAUGUGAAAUAUAAAUGUGCAUGCAGUUAUUUAAUAUUAUUUUAGUUGAAAAACUGAAAUAUAAUUACAAAGAAUAAAGAAUGUAUUUGUCUGAAUCACAAAAAUUUGAUGUGCAAGUAGUCCUCGAGAUCUUUGGUGUGUGAUCUAUAUUGAGGGACCACAUGCAAUAUUAAACCAUGAAUAUGGUUAGCUGUCAGUAGUUAGGACAAAAGUUGUUAUCAGGACCGUUUGCUUUAUUUUGUCAGCUAGUAUUCUGUCUCCUCAUAGCUUGCUUUAUAUGAGAAGAACUACCAAUGUAUUGCCUCAAGUUUUUAUGCAAUGAUAACAAAUAUUCCUGUUUUUCUCUCUAUGAAUCCUUUAUUUUUGUGCCAUCAGUCACUUUCUCUAGCUUGAAAUUCCAUUGUCAUCAUGGUAUCAGAGCUGUCUUUCCUGCCGGUUACUUCUUCUUCACUCACUUUCUACUUUCUCUGCUAAUCCCCUCUCUUACAUCUAUUUCUAUACCAGAUCUUCUUCUUCUAUAUCUCUCAUCAUGUCUUCUCAAUCAAGAUAUUCUUUUCAAGAUAUGCUCAAUCCUCUCUUCCUCCACCCUUCUGAUACUGCAACCUCCAUUCAAGUGGAAAAGCUGCAAGGCUCAGCUGAUUAUCGCUCCUGGUGUCGCUCCAUGGAGAUAAAUCUAGCCUCCAAACGCAAACUCGGGUUUGUCACUGGUACUGUGACCAAACCAGUAGAUGAUGAACUCAAAGCUGAAAUGUGGGACACAUGCAACAACAUGGUCAUAGCCUGGAUUACAGGUAAUGUGUCUCCCACAGUUCGUAAAUCCAUUAUGUUUAUGUCUGAUGCUUGUGAAAUGUGGAAAAAUCUUGAAAAAAGAUUUACACUCACCAAUGGCUCUCGAAAGUACAAGCUAAACAAAGACCUCUAUGAAGUCAGGCAACACACUGCCUCAAUUAAUGAAUACUACACAACAAUGAAAACGUUGUGGGAAGAGCUUGAUUCAAUGAACUUGCUCCCAACAAUCUUGAGCCCCACUGAAGAAAUCACUAAACUGCUUCAAACUAUCGAGCUGCAGAAAGAUGAGGCACAUUUGUUCCAAUUUCUAAAUGGUGUCAAUGAAGUAUAUGGACCACAGCGUAGCCAGCUGUUAAUGUUGAACCCACUUCCCAGUGUAGAAGUAGCAGUCGCUGUGCUGCAACAAGAAGAGGCUCAAAGAAGUCUCCUCUCCUCUGUUCUACCAGAUCUGGAACUCUCAGCCAUGUACAGCAAGAGUGUGCCAGCCUCCCAACCUGAAAAACCCCUUCUUUGCUCUGCCUGUAAUGUUAAAGGCCACUCUAAAGAGCGUUGCUGGACUGUCAUUGGAUACCCAAAGUGGCAUCCAAAGUACAAGCCCCCCAUGAACAAUACCAAAAUUAAACCAGCAACAACACCUUCACCACACAAAUGGUCCUCCACACCAAAAAUGGCAGCUGCUGCAACUGUAAGCUCUGCUUCUCCUGGUCUCUUAUUCACCCCACAACAACUCGAGCAACUGGCUCAGUUAGUGCCUCACCUGCAAAAUCAAACCAUGAAAACUGCUGAAACAGAGGAAGAUGCACCUUAUCAUUUCUCUGGUAUGAUCUCCACAAUGACUUCAACUAAAUCAGCUGAGGAAUGGAUAAUAGAUUCCGGAGCCUCCGACCACAUGACACCACAUCUCAAACUUCUUCACAAAGCAACUCCAACUGGACAUUCACCUCUCAUAAAUCUGCCAAAUGGGGAUACCACUGUCAUUUCUCACAAAGGUAUGGCCACUCUGCCAAAUGGUCUCAAACUUGAAGAUAUAUUGUGUGUUCCUAAUUUUAAACACAAUUUAUUAUCUGUUCAAAAGUUAGUCAAAGAUAAUGCUUGUCAAGUUCAGUUUUUUCCUAAACACUGCUGCAUCAUAGACACUGUUUCAAAUAAAGUGCUUGGGGUAGGACAUGCUAAAGAUGGCCUAUAUUAUUAUACUCCUGCUGCAAACAUAUCUCUCCCUCUACAAACCUUUACACAUCAAACCAACUCUGCUCAAUCAACUCACUCCAUAGACCUCUGGCACUGCAGAUUAGGCCAUGCUCCUGUACCUAAAAUCACUAAAAUCUCUAGCAUUAAAGCCUCUUCCAAACAGCUUUCCUCUUUGUGUCUAACCUGUCCUCUAGCUAGAUUCACAAAACUACCCUUCUCACUGAGUACAUCACAUGCAAAAUCAGCUUUUGACUUGGUGCACAUAGACUUGUGGGGACCUUACAAAGAAUGCACCAAAAGCACUUGUAGGUAUUUCUUGACAAUAGUUGAUGAUUAUUCACGAUAUACUUGGUUAUAUCUAUUGUCCAACAAGUCUGAUUCUCUGCCAAUCUUGAAGACAUUUGUCCAGUUCAUUAAAAAUCAUUUCAGUGGUGCUUCAAUCAAAGUCAUACGAUCUGAUAAUGGUUUAGAAUUUGACAACAUUAUGUGCAAGCAGUUUUUUGCCAACAAUGGCAUUCUCCACCAGACCUCGUGUCCAUAUCGUCCACAGCAAAAUGGACGGGUCGAGCGGAAGCAUCGAUUUAUUUUAGAAGUGGCACGGGCUCUUAAAUUUCAGUCAAAUGCUCCCAUACAUUUGUGGGGAGACUGCGUUUUGACAGCAGUCUACAUUAUUAAUCGCCUUCCUACUUCGCUCCUGGACAACAAAACACCCUACGAGGUGUUUUACAAAGAGCUUCCUGACUAUGAGUCUAUGAGAGUGUUUGGGUGCUUGGCUGUUGCUACAAAUCCUGUAGUUACACAUGACAAAUUUGCAGCCAGAGGGGUUACAUGUGUAUUUGUGGGCUAUCCUCCUAUGAAGAAGGGAUUUCGUUUGAUAAAUCUUGAAACAAUGAAAGAAUUCAACUCCAGAGAUGUCAAAUUUCACGAAGAUAUCUUUCCCUUUAAAACAAGCUCUUUCUCUCCUAUGACACCAUUGACUGAUCCAGCCAAUGAUCCUCAGUUCUUGACAUCCAUAUUCUCUGAUGAAGAAUAUGUCUCUGAAUUACCCAGAUCUCCAUCUCCCGAGAGAGUUCAAUCUUCUUCAUCAGAUGAUGAUACUGAGAUGGAUACCAACUUAAAUGUCAGAAGAUCCACAAGACUCCAUCGUCCCCCACAGUGGCAUAAUGACUAUGUCGCCAACUGUACCACUCAGACCAUCUCUACUGUGACUGACACUGCAGUCAACAACAAUUUUCAUUGCCUCCUAGCCACUCUUGCUACUACAAAAGAUCCAGUAUCGUUUAAAGUCGCAGUACAAGAGCCACACUGGGUGUCAGCUAUGAAUGCUGAGCUCGAAGCACUGGAGCGAAAUGGAACAUGGAUUGUCACUACACUUCCUCCGGGUAAAACUGCCAUCGCUUGCAAAUGGGUGCAUAAAACGAAGUUCAAUCCAGACGGAACCAUAGAGCGAUAUAAGUCCCGUUUAGUCAUUUUGGGCUGUCGACAAAAAUAUGGUGAGGAUUUUAAAGAAACAUUCGCUCCAGUCGCGAAAAUGACAACGGUUCGCACAUUGCUUGCUGUCGCAGCAAUUCAGAAUUGGUACACAUUGCAGAUGGACGUGUCAAAUGCGUUCCUGAAUGGGGAACUCUUUGAGGAUAUAUACAUGAAACUGCCACCCGGUUAUAUGCACUUUGGUUAUCGAAUCAAGUUGAAUGAUGCUGCUCAAGGUCCUUCACACUGCAACUAUGUCUGCAAGCUUCUAAAAGCCUUGUAUGGGCUAAGACAGGCGCCACGAUUGUGGUUCUCUAAACUCUCUCUCACACUGCUUGCUCUUGGGUUCAAGCAAUCGAAAUCAGAUUACAGCCUGUUCCUGAAACAACAGCCAUCAUCCACCCUUACUGUUCUUGUUUAUGUUGACGACCUUCUCAUUUGUGGCUCUGCUAUGAAAGAUAUUGAUAACCUGAAAGCAAUGUUGUCUGCUCAAUUUCACAUGAAAGACCUUGGCCCUAUCAGCUAUUUUCUAGGCCUCGAAAUAGCUCGCUCUUCAUCUGGCUUCUUCAUCUCACAGAAAAAAUACACUCUUGAUCUCCUUACUCAACAUGGCCUGCUGAAUUGUAAACCUCUCUCUCUGCCUAUGGAUUCUCAUCUGAAAUUGACUCCAACCAUUGGUGAUCCUCUUCCUAAUCCACUACCAUACCAACGCCUGUUAGGACAACUUAUUUACCUCACAAUCACACGCCCUGAUAUCUCAUUUACAGUUCAUACUCUCAGCCAAUACAUGAAUGCUCCUACCACGGUUCAUUAUCAAGCUGCCAAGCGUCUUCUACGCUAUCUUGCUGGUUCUCCAGCUCAAGGUAUCCUCCUGGCAUCUUCUAGUGCGGCUCACCUCACUGCCUACUGCGACAGUGACUGGGCAAGCUGCCUUGCUACUCGCAAAUCCACCACGGGCUACUGCAUUUUGCUUGGGGAUUCACCCAUAUCCUGGAAAUCGAAGAAGCAAAGUGUAGUUGCUCGCUCUUCCGCUGAAGCCGAAUAUCGAGCAAUGGCAUUUACUACAUGUGAAGUCACCUGGUUAUCCUCCCUGCUAAAGGACUUGGGUCUCAAAGAUCUCCCUCCUGCCAACCUCAAAUGUGAUAAUAAAGCUGCUCUUGCCAUCGCUGCAAAUCCAGUGCAACACGAGCGCACUAAACAUGUGGAAAUCGACUGCCACUAUGUUCGUGAUCAACUCAACAAAGGCCUCCUUACAACUUCUCAUGUCUCAUCUUCUGAACAAAUAGCUGACUUGCUCACCAAAGUUCUGCCAGUCAAACAACACAAUCACUUGCUGCACAAGCUCGGAGCUUCCGCUUUCCCUCCAUCUCCAGCUUGAGGGGGAGUAUUGAGGGACCACAUGCAAUAUUAAACCAUGAAUAUGGUUAGCUGUCAGUAGUUAGGACAAAAGUUGUUAUCAGGACCGUUUGCUUUAUUUUGUCAGCUAGUAUUCUGUCUCCUCAUAGCUUGCUUUAUAUGAGAAGAACUACCAAUGUAUUGCCUCAAGUUUUUAUGCAAUGAUAACAAAUAUUCCUGUUUUUCUCUCUAUGAAUCCUUUAUUUUUGUGCCAUCAGUCACUUUCUCUAGCUUGAAAUUCCAUUGUCAUCAAUCUAGAGGAACCUUGAACGUUUGCAUUCUGCAGGGACAGCAUUAGCAAACCUCUGCUUGUCAGAGCAGUAGUUGUACACCAUAUGCUUUGAUUGUACCCAACGCAGUCUAUUUCGGCCAGCUGCAUCCAACUGGUGUGUUCGCCAUCCCUCGUCGGUGCUUGAAGAAGUUGAUGAUCCACAAGAUGAUGAUCCGGAAGAUGAUUUGGGACACCCUUUUAUAUUGAAGUUUCUGUAGUAGGCUGUGAAUGGAGCUUUAGUCCAGUCUGUCUUAACACGACCGCCUUGUGUUGCCCAGUCAUCAGCAUUCCAUAAGCUCGCAUAGACUCUCAUAUGCUGACUCUUGGGAAACGGCACCCCUAUUGAUUCCUGAUUGUUGAAUACUCUGAUCGGGUUGUUAUCCACCAAGAAACUGAAAGCAAAAAAAAAUUAAAAAUUGUCAGCAAAAGCAAUCAGAGUAGAAGCUGCAAUUUGGUACGAAAAUGGAAAGUUAUAAGUCCGGUGGAAAAGGUCUACUUACAUAAUCCUUUGGGGAUUCCAAACAAUGGAGUAGGUGUGGAAGGAAGAAGUGGGAUCGAACCAGAGCUGGAAUUGCUGUUCUUUGUCACCUUUGCCUUGUGCAAACACAUUCGUGUGGAUUGUAUAUGGACUUCCUGAAGAGUUCCCUAAAAACUCGAAGUCAAUCUCGUCAUGUCCGGCUCCUUGAGAAGAUAACUGCGCAACAUUAAAUAGAUGUCAGGCAUUUAGAUACCAUUGAUAACUAAGGACAGCAUAUAGUACAUCAAUACGAUAAAUUAUAAUGUAGGGAGUGACGUUACUGACAUAGAAGGUAGUAACAGUGCCAGCAGAGUUUCCAGGGACAAGCUUGAGUUGCAUAUCGAAUCUUCCAAACAAGUACUCAUUCUUGGAUUGAAACCCUGAGCCAGAAGCUUGGUCGAGAGACAAAGUGAGGUCCCGACCAGCAUUGAGUAUCUUGGCGCGCUGAUCACCCCAAGUGAUCUCCGCGUCUUUGUAGAAAUCAGCAGCUGCCUGUGGAGCUUGGCUGGUCAUGAGAACUGAAAGUAACAGAAGCGCUAGCAUGCAGGUUGACAUGUUAUAAUAGGCACUCGAAAUGAGAGAAGACUUCACUGGGCUUGAAUUAAUCGAAAGUUAGAGAUUGCUGAUGAAAAAGAAGAAUGUAUGUGGAGAGUGAUUGUUGAGGUAAGAAUGGGAAUGGGUGAUAUUUAUAGGUGGGAGUUGUUGAGUAGAGCACAAAAGGAAGCAUCCCAGACACAGGAUGGAUAAUGUAGAAGCUAUAUGUUGUUGACAGCAGGGCCGGCUCAUAGUACAGGCCAUUUAGGCAACCGCCUAAGGCCCCCAAUAUCAAGAGGCCCCCAAUUUUAUAGUAGUAUAUAUAUGUGUAGGUAUACAUGUGAAAAAAAAAAUUAGUUUCAUAAUAUUAAAAAAAAAUCAAAAAUAAGAUAAAAAUUAAUAUCUAAAUUUUGUAAAAAAUUGAAAAUUUUGUGUGAUCAACUUUUCAAAAACAUAAUUAAAAUACUAGUACAAUAUUAUUAAUCAUAUUUUAUUUUUUUGGUAACUUAAUAAAUACUUACUUAAAUCCAUAACCUAAUAAAUAUGGAAAUGAUUGUUUUAUAUUAAUUUUAUAUAUUAAGAGACAUAAUUAUUAAAAUUAAUAACAUAAAAUAUUAUACACAUUCUAGUUAAAUAAUAUAUUAGAAUUAGGCAUUAACAAAAUAUUUAAUAACAAUUCUUUUAGGGUGCAUCUGUAUUUGACUGUGUACUUGAAUUAUAUACAACUACCGAGGUAAGCUAUUUAUAUUAUAUACAUUUCAGAAUACAAAGUCAUUGUUGAUUAUUAAUUUACAACGUUAAUAAAACCUUUCAUCUCCCGGUCAUUACCAUCUUUGCUUUAUAACUUCUCCUCUGUACAUUCAGUGCACAAGAAGUGCUUUCAGAGUUUUUUAAGUUUGGUGGAAAAAUUGCUUGAGCCUGAUUAUUAUUGCUUUGCUCGAUCGGAUUAUAAGAGUUUUACAACUAGCUACUGCCAUCAUCUGUAUUCUGUCAGGUUCUAACUUUAGUUAUAAAUUUUUUUAUUUUCUUGUCAAUUCCUUAUUCCAGCAUAUUCUUAUUUUUGUUCUUGUGUUGCAUUAUUGGAUUUGCCAUGUCAACUAGAAAAUAUGAAUCAGGUUAUAAAAAAUUGCAAAAGAAGAGAAGAGUUGAAGCAAUGAUAGAAAAACAAAAAGGAUCUCUAGAUAAGUUUGUAAAACCUACAAAAAGAUAUACAGAAACUACUUCAGAACCUCAUGUAGAUGAAUCAAAUGAUAAUACUAUCCUUGAUAGUGGUAAAAUUAUGGAGGAAGAAAAUAUUUUAGAUGAUCACAAAAAUCUUUCCGACUCUGAGGCUAAUGUGGAAGAACAAAAUUUUGAUACAGAUCAUACUGUACUCCCUAGAAAUUUGGAUGACCCUAGUAACUGGAAAAAUAUUAGUUCUAAUUUAAGAGAUUUGUUAGUGGAGAGAGGUCCUGUACAACUCUGUGAUUUAGAUUUUCCCAAGGAUAAAUCUUCCCGACAUUUUUCCUCUAUACAUUAUACUCAAAAAAUGGCAAAUGGUGAGAAGUUUGAAAGAAAAUGGUUUACUGCUUGGAUUGAAUCAGAAACGAGACUUUCAAGAAAUAAAACAAUUGACAAGCAUAUUCAAGAUCGAAUAAACAAAGAUAGAGAACAUUGGAGAAAUGUGUUAAAAAGAAUUAUUGCUGUAGUGAAAACUCUUGGUAUGAAAAAUUUAGCUUUUCGUGGGACAAAUGAAAAAAUUUAUCAAGAGAAUAAUGAGAAUUUUUUAGCUUUGAUUGAGAUGAUUGCAGAAUUUGAUCCUAUUAUGCAAGAACAUGUUAGACGUAUUAAGGAUGAUAGCCUUCACACUCACUAUCUUGGUCAUGCAAUGCAAAAUGAACUGAUUAAUUUACUGGCAUGUGAAAUCAAAACAAAAAUUAUUAAAAAGGUCCAGGAUGCUAAAUAUUUUUCUGUUAUAUUAGAUUGUACUCCUGAUGUAAGUCACAAAGAACAAAUGUCUAUUGUAAUUAGAUGUUUAGAUAUUUCAUCAAGUCCUAUAAAAAUUGUUGAAUAUUUUAUAGAAUUUUUAGUGGUAGAUGAUACAACUGGUAAGGGACUUUUUGAUGCUAUAGUGGAUGAGAUUAAAAAUAUCGGACUUGACAUAGAUGAUCUUAGAGGACAAGGAUAUGAUAAUGGUUCUAAUAUGAAAGGAAAACAUCAGGGGGUACAAAAAAGGCUUUUAGAUAUUAAUCCUAGAUCAUUUUAUAGUCCUUGUGGUUGUCAUAGUCUAAAUUUGGUGAUUUGUGAUAUGGCUAAUUCUUGUACUAGAGCUACUGAUUUUUUUGGAGUCGUGCAGCGUAUAUAUACAAUAUUUUCUUCAUCCACUAAAAGAUGGAAAGUUUUACAAGAUCAUAUUCCCAGUUUUACUCUCAAGUUUUUGUCACAAACACGUUGGGAAAGUCGUAUUGAAAGUAUCAAAGCUAUAAGAUUUCAAGCACCACAGGUAAGAGAUGCUUUAUUGACAUUAUAUGAUGUUGGUGGGGAUGCAAAAAUUAAAAGUGAGGCAAAAUGUUUAGCCACAUAUGAGCUUGCAAAUUUUGAGUUUUUAUUGGCAAUGAUAAUUUGGUAUGAUAUAUUAUUUGCUGUUAACUCUGUUAGUAAAAAUAUGCAGGCUAAAGAUAUUUGUAUUGAUGAUGCUAUUGAACAAUUAAAUGGUCUUAUUAGUUUUUUUCAAAAAUAUAGAGAAGAUGGGUUUGAAAAUGCUAUGAAUUCUGCCAAAGAAAUUGCUAGUGAGAUGGAUGUAGAGCCUAAAUUUUUAGAGAGACGUAUCAUUCGUAGAAAUAAAAAAUUUGAUGAUAAUAUAGACAAUGAAACUAGGAAAUCCCCUGAAGAAUUAUUUAGAACUGAUUACUUUUUAUAUAUUGUAGAUCAAGCUUUAUCAUCACUGCAAAGUAGAUUUGAUCAAUUUAAAAUAUAUGAAAAUAUUUUUGGCUUUUUAUUUAGUAUAAAAAAAAUGAAGUCCUUAGAUGAUAAAAAAUUGAAAGAAAGUUGUCUUAAUUUAGAAAAUUCCCUAAAACAUAAUAAUACUUCAGAUAUUGAUGGUUUAGAUUUAUUUUUUGAAUUAAGAAUUUUGAGAGAAUUUAUGCAUGAGAAUAAUAGCACUCCCCUUGACAUACUAAAUUAUAUUAAAAGGAUUAAUUCUUUUCCCAAUGCUUAUAUUGCAUAUAGAAUUAUGUUAACUAUUCCAGUGAGUGUUGCUUCUGCAGAAAGAAGUUUUUCUAAAUUAAAAUUGAUAAAAAAUUAUUUGAGAUCAACAGUAUCACAGGAGAGACUCAAUGGGUUAGCUAUUUUAUCGAUUGAAAAGGAAUUCUUGCAAGAAAUUGAUUAUGAUAAUUUUAUCAAGACAUUUGCAUCACAAAAGGCUAGAAAAAUAAAUUUUAUAUGAAUUGUUGUUUACAUUCCGGGCCUCUACUUUCUUGUUUUUAGAUUUAAUAUGAUGGAACAAGUAAAGGUGGACAAAACUGCUCAACUUCUGGUGUUUGCUGCUGCUGUUGCUGCUUGAAGACUAGUGAACAUGUAAAAAUAUUAUUUUGUAACAAGUAAAUUUUUUAGUAGUGUGUUUAGGAUGAUUUUAUGUUUGUAAUGUUCAAAUAUUAUAAAAUUUUCUAUUUAAUAUAUAUUAAUGCAAUAUUAGAUUUUUUUUUUAAAUUAGGCCUCAUUUUUGUGAUUCGCCUAAGGCCCCCGAGUUGCUUAAACCGGCCCUGAGUAGUCAUGAACAUUCAAACACUUGAAGAAACCAGCUAUAUGCCUCAUUGACGCGUUCUGCUUUAUUAUAUUGCUCGCAGAGUCGCAUAAUUGCAAUGGACACAUAGUAUGAUGGUCCAUUGACAAAAGCUCCCAUGGUAUAGCACUACAGCCAAUAAAAUAAGGCAGAUUAUUUUUAAGGUCAAUCGCCAAAAAAUAAAUAGAAAUAUUGUCACGUAUAUACACACUUGUGAAUCAGAAGCAGCCUGGACUGGUCAAUUUUAUUCGGAUAUUUUAUCAAAUUAACUUUCACUAUCAUGUACAGUUCACCAAUCCGCUACCAGCCAUUAAGCAUACAACUAGCAACAAGAGGUCGAAGGUUCGAAUUUCAGUGAAGACAAACGUGGACAUGCCUAUUUAAAGUUUACCCUUAUUAUGUAAACCUAUGUAAGUUGUUUGUGUUGGACAGAUUUUGUUUCUUAGACGAGUAUUGAACAACAUAGUAUCAACUGAUGAUGGCAAGAAAUGAGCUGCAUCAAAUUUGUGAUUCCGUCUGGCCCCUUGUCAAGUACUCACUCCGUCCCUUUUACAUGUCCAUUUUGACUAGUCAAAUUGACUAUGUUUUGAUUAUAAUAUAUAUAUAUAUAUAUAUAUAUAUCAUAUAAUUGAAAAAAAUAAUAAAAAUGAUGUAAUUAGAAAGUAUAUUUGGUCUAUUUUAACAUGCAAUUUUCAGAUUUUAAAAAUAAUGAAUAAAUAAUUUGUAAUAUUUAGUCAAAAAUUGGUCAAUUUGACUUCUUAAGAACCAAAAUGAAUAUGUAAAAGAGGACGGAGGUAUAUAUCCAAAUACGAAUAUCAUCACUCAUCAGCCGUCCUCUUCGGAACUCCCUGCUAUAUUCUUCCCGGGAAAAUCGAUGUUUAGAUAUCAACCACGACCUCGCACAUUUUACUUUGAUUGAUCACAUCUCCGUUUGUGUUUACAACACUGGUUCUGAUUUCUUUUUACUGGUUCGUUAUAUUGCCAGUUUACGAUUAUCAUCCAUGCUCUUCAGUUUUUCUACUGAUCUACCCGUGCCAUGCGUAAAAAGUUUCUGUUGUCUGCUGCGUUUUAAUGCUUCGAUAUCUAAGAUCACGCGAGAUAUUGAAGAUGAUCGGUAACUGUUUUUAACGUUUAAGGUAAAAAUGCAGCUGCAGCAAAAUUAAGUAUAGUUCAAUGCUCUGAAGAUACAGAAGCUGAAAUUUGGGAGUAAAUUAAAAUAAACUUUUUUUUAUUGGCUGAUCUUUGAUGAAUUAAGUGACUGGAUUUAUUUAACAUUUGAAUUAGAAAAACAGAAAUUCAAUUACAAAGAAUAAAGAAUAUAUUUAUUUGUUGGAAUCACAAUAAGCUGCUGACAAAAUCAGUCAUCAAAAUCAUGGUUGAGUGUCGUCUAGAGGAACCUUGAGCGCUUGCAUUCAGCAGGGACAGCAUUAGCAAACCUCUGUUUGUCAGAGCAGUAGUUGUACACCAUAUGCUUUGACUGCACCCAUCGGAGUCUGUUUCGGCCAGCUGCAUCCAACUGGUGUGUUCGCCAUCCCUCGUUGGUGUUUGAAGAGGUGGAUGAUCCACAAGAUGAUGAUCCGGAAGAUGACUUGGGACACCCUUUUAUGUUGAAGUUCCUGUAGUAAGCUGUGAAUGGAGCUUUAGUCCAGUCGGUCUUGACACGUCCACCUUGAGUUGCCCAGUCAUCAGCAUUCCAUAAGCUGGCAUAGACUCUCAUGUGCUGACUCUUUGGGAAUGGCACUCCUAUUGAUUCCUGAUUGUUGAAUACUCUGAUCGGGUUGUUAUCCACCAAGAAACUGAAAGCAAAAGAAAUAUAAAAAUUGUCAGCAAAAGCAAUCGGAGUAGAAGCUGCAAUUUGGUACGAAAAUGGAAAGUUAUAAGUCCGGUGAAAAAGGUGUACUUACAUGAUUCUUUGGGGAUUCCAGACAAUGGAGUAGGUGUGGAAGGAAGAAGUGGGAUCGAACCAGAGCUGGAAUUGCUGUUCUUUGUUCCCUUUGCCUUGUGCAAAUACAUUCGUGUGAAUUGUGUAUGGACUCCCUGAUGAGUUUCCCAGAAACUCAAAAUCAAUCUCAUCAUGUCCAGCUCCUUGAGAAGAUAGCUGCAAGUACAUGAUAUAAAUAAAUAUUAGGCAUGAAAAUAGCUUUGUUAACUAAAGAUCAUAUGGUGCAUGAAUAUGAUAAAAUGUAAUGUAAGGUUACUAACAUAAAAGGUAGUGACAGUGCCAGCAGAGUUUCCAGGGACAAGCUUGAGUUGCAUAUCGAAUCUUCCAAACAAGUACUCAUUCUUAGACUGAAAACCUGAGCCAGAAGCUUGGUCGAGAGACAAAGUAAGGUCUCGACCAGCAUUGAGUAUCUUGGCGCGCUGAUCACCCCAAGUGAUUUCCGCGUCUUUGUAGAAAUCAGCAGUUGCCUGUGGAGCUUGGGUGCUCACGAGAACUGAAAGUAUUAGAAGCGCUAACAUGCAGAUUGACA
rnacentral:lncRNA from 1 species